UUGUAAUAUAAAAGUAUUGUGUUCGGGCCUUCGAGGCACAGGCUGGACAUGCAUAAAUAAACACCCGAGUUUGAUAUGAUCCGACCCAUUUCAGUUUCUGGACUAAAACGGGUCGUCGUCGUCUUUCUCAGUUCUCUCUCACACAGAAGAGUCUGUAACAGGAAGAAGAGAAGAGCAAUGAGUGGAGAAGAAUUAACGGGCCCCCCAGCGCCAAAGCUCCUUCGUCUGCUUUAUUUUGUCGGCGCUGGCUUUAUUUGCACUGUUGGAAUCAACAAAUGGCGUGAGCUUCAGCGCAAGUCCAUUUUACAACAGCAACAGCAGCAACAGCUCCCUGAAAAUGCCGCAAAUGCCCUUAAGUGAUCUCCAGCCAAAACCAUGAGGCAAUCACUUCACUGAGUUCUGCAACCUUCGCAUAAUGCAGUUAUCUGUUGCGGCUAGAUGGCUGGAUGCAGUUUUCAUUUGAAAGCCUAGAGGGACUUUUGGAGCUGAAGCUUUCAUGUUUGUUUUUGCCUUGAUACAUUCUUUUGUCGAACUUUAUCAAUAAAGGUUAUUGAUUGGGCAGAAUCAUAUCUGAAUAUGUGGUCAGGAUUUAAGAUUUGACAUUUCAAACUAUUUUAAAGAACGUUUCAUGG